UGCUAACAUGUUAAAAAAAGUGAGUUCAUUCUAGUACGUAAAUUCGAAGAAAUUUCUGCCAUGAAUUGAUGUGAAAGACACGACAAUGUGCUGCUUACUAACCAGAUUGACAACUGUUCUUCAGGCUCAACAAGAAAGUUCCCUCCCUCUUCCUCAAUAAUAGUUCUAGGCAAAUGGGAUAAGAUACAAGCUUCCUCGCCAAAUUCAAAGAUUCAUUCAACAGACACUGAUUGCGAUGCAUAUCGCGCAUGUGCUGCUAGCUAAUUUUCGACGAAGUUCGUCGUACUCCGUACGUCUCGCCCAGCUUGCCUAACAGAAUAUGAUCUCUAAGGAUUGAGGGAAUAUGCCUGCGGAGCUGAUGGACUUUAGAUAAAGAGAAGGCGGAAAGCAAGAGAGAUAAGAGCGCAGGCCUCUUGAGCUGAACUGGAGAAUCCUCUGUGAUUUCUCAAGUUCUCACAUUAAUUGAUGCAGGGGUUCCAGAAAUCAGAGUGAAAGCUCAUCAUCUUAUCAUACCUUUCAUGUCAUCUGGAGCAAAUAAACACUAGUCCUGAAACUGAACUGGAGUAACGCCUGAAAGGUGCUAUUCUCGUCCAUCAACUGGUUGGUUAUGGAUUACAUGGAUUUCUGUAGCUAUCACGGCACAAGGAGCAUAUCUGCAAAUGGAAGCCGGAUCAGAUCAGUACUGGAUAGAUGGAAGCUGGGUAACCGUUAGAUAUGUAUGACACUUUUGAGUAAAGGGCGGAGCAGGAAAGGCAACGAGGCCAGUUACGUGGACGCACCGAACGUCAGGCUGGAGGAAGCAUCCACGGACCCAACUAUGGCUGGCAUGAUAAUCUUGACCGGAGAUGGAGCAGACAAUGAGCCAUCCGCCCACCCCCCUUCACGUGGCGCGGCAUCCCAUUCGACAUCCGCCUGAUGGGACUCACCGAAAUGAAAGUCGCCGACGCCGGCCCUCCGGCCGGGAUUCUGGAAAUGGACUACCAAGAAUCGCCGGAGAAGAUGGCGUGGGAGGCCAAAGCUGCUGAAAACGGCAAAAAAGAUUGUUCCUCCGCCAUUGGCUGGCUGGAUCAGAAAAUGACACUUGUUAUCGCCAAAAGUCCUUGUCGAGAUUGUUCUUCUGCCAUUGGCUCGUUGGAUCAGAAAACGACGCUAGUUAGGAGUACUGAAGAUCAUUGUCUGUGCUCAGGAUGCAUGGAGGUUUGAUGGCAAAGCAAACGUACGUACGUGGACAGCAACUGUCCUCUGGCUGAGCUGUGCGCCUACAGUGUCACCACCCAAAUUCAUUUUGUAUAUUGAAGUUAAAUGCGUAUUCUUCUCGAAAUGGGCUUGUUAGCGUUAAAAGCAAACUAAUUAUAUUUCACUUUUACCACUCUUAGCUUUUGACAAUGUAUCACAAUUGUGCAAUUAUGAUACACUGUCAAAAGGUAAGAGUGGCAAAAGUAAAAUGCCAAAAUCUGGAGUAGCAUAAAGAAAAUUUGAAAAACCUAAAGUGGCCAAAUCUGGGUUGGG